CGAUGAUCCGGCUGGAUAUUGGUUAUACGGUAUCUAACCACAUCGACUAAACUCACUUUGUGUAAAUAACACACACAUGUCGGCACGUUCGCCGGGGUGCUCCUGAGGUGUUUCACCGGAUGGGGUCGGCGUAAUGGGACAUGUGGAGGCAUAACCC
rnacentral:misc_RNA from 1 species